AAGCGCUUUGAGAUAGACACCGCCUAUUAUCGCAACAUCAGCCAAGCGUUAGAGUCAUCUACGAAGGAGCACGACAUUACCAAGGAGAAGUUGGCUAGAGCGUUGAACGUCAUUGAAGAUGAGAAGAGGAGACAAGUCCUUGUGAAGAAUCAGAGAGAAGUUAAAGCCAAAGUCCUUACCGCCGAGUGGGAAGCAAAGCUGAAAGUUAAGGAGGAAGAGCACGCGAAGAUUAUUGCUGAGAGAGAUCAUUAUCUUGCUGAGAGAGACCAUUAUUUCUGACAGAUGAAGAUUCAUCAGAAGGAGGUGGGAAGACUUCAGCAGGAGAACACUGAGCUCAGGUUUGCCGUGAAGUUUACCAAGAUGGUUGAUGAUGCAGAGCCUUCUG
rnacentral:lncRNA from 1 species